rnacentral:lncRNA from 1 species
AAAAGAAACCCAGUGGCACAACCGUAAUUAUUUCGAAAUGAGAUUUUUAUAAAAAAAUCAGAUUUCUCUAUCUCUCUCUCUCUCUCUCUCUCUCUCUCUCUCUCUCUCUCUCUCUCUCUCUCUCUCUCUCUCUCUCUUUCUCUCUCUCUUCCGCGUGGUCUCUCUCUCUCCUUUCUCUCGCGCGGGACGGCAGCCGGCCAUGUUUUGGCCGGCCGUGCUUUCCUCCGGCCACCGAUGACGACGGGGCUGGUACCAAAAUGAUCGGACCGUCGUCUUCUUCCAACCCCAGCAGGCUCCCACCUCCAGCCGCCGCGGUUUCGCUGAAAAAUGGAGAAGAAGCGGCGGGUGUCGUCUGAACUUCUCCGCUGUCGAUCUCCUUCCUCC